CUUUUGAGCUGAUUCAGUAUUCUCGUGUGAAACCGUGUCGAGACGCAGUAUUUGACAUCUGAAAAGAUGCAGACUACAAAGAUAUUCAAAGUCUUGAUUCCAAUUCAAAUAUCCCCAACUCCCUUCCUCGCACACACGCUGACACGCCAAUGACCCAAUUCCAUAAACAAUAUUCUAAUUUAUCAAGCUUUCCCAAUAAGACUUCAUUAAACUCAUUCUCCUUUAAUUUGUUUUUAUUUUUGUUAAGGAUUCAUGGUGUCAAAGAUUUUUCUUGUUUCGGGAUUCUUUUACUUGUUUUUCUGUGAUUUUUUUGCCGCUGAAGCUUUUAAGAGUUUGACUUUCAAUGAUACGGGCAUAGAAUUUCCUGAUCAUUCGAGCUUCAAUUCUGUUUCUUCCUCAUUAGAUUCAGAUUGUAGCUUCUCGGAAUCGAAGAAAGGAUAUACCCCCUUUAAUUUUACGCCGGAAAAUGGACCGGCCCCGUCAGUGAAGCUUCAUCUAAAGCACAGAUCAGAUGGGCGAGAAAUUAACGGCAAAGAUCGUUUAAUGGAGUCUACAGCGAAGGAUUUGACUCGGAUUCAGACAUUGCACAAGAGAAUUAUAGAGAAAAAGAACCAGAACACCAUUUCAAGAGUAAAGAAAGAUGGUGGUCAACAGUUUUCUUCGCCGGAAAGUGGGUUUUCCGGGCAGCUGACGGCCACCCUUGAAUCAGGAGUCAGUCUUGGUUCAGGAGAGUACUUCAUUGAUGUCUUUGUGGGUACACCUCCUAAACAUUUCUCUUUAAUUCUUGAUACUGGUAGUGAUCUUAAUUGGAUUCAAUGUGUUCCUUGUUAUGAUUGUUUUGAACAAACUGGCCCUUAUUAUGACCCCAAUGAUUCGAUUUCGUUUAGAAAUAUAAGCUGUCGUGAUCCACGGUGUCACCUAGUUUCAUCGCCUGAUCCUCCACAGCAAUGCAAUGCUGAGAAUCAGAGUUGUCCUUAUUAUUAUUGGUAUGGAGAUAGUUCUAACACAACUGGUGAUUUCGCACUCGAAACUUUCACUGUUAAUCUCACGACACGGAAUGGGAACACAGAAUUUAGGAGAGUCGAAAAUGUGAUGUUUGGAUGUGGUCAUUGGAAUAGAGGUCUAUUUCAUGGUGCUGCUGGAUUGUUAGGGCUUGGAAGAGGGCCACUUUCGUUUUCGUCGCAGCUUCGAUCUUUUUAUGGCCACUCGUUCUCGUAUUGUCUCGUGGAUCGAAAUAGUAAUGCGAAUGUUAGUAGCAAGUUGAUUUUUGGUGAGGAUAAAGACCUUUUGAGCCAUCCUGAAUUGAAUUUCACUUCAUUUGUUGUGGGAAAAGAAAAUCCGGUUGAUACAUUCUACUAUGUCGGGAUUAACUCGAUUAUAGUUGGAGGAGAGGUUCUGAAUAUACCAGCAGAGACAUGGGAUUUGUCACCGGAAGGUGCUGGUGGAUCUAUCGUCGAUUCAGGGACUACGUUGAGUUACUUUGCUGAUCCGGCUUAUAGGAUUAUUAAGGAGGCUUUUGUAAAGAAGAUCGAGGGAUAUCCGGUUGUAAAAGAUUUUCCGAUACUCGAUCCUUGUUAUAAUGUUUCUGGAGCGGUGAAAUUGGAUAUGCCCUCGUUCGGGAUUCUGUUUAGUGAUGGAGCAGUAUGGAAUUUCCCAUUAGAGAACUAUUUCAUCAAGCUCGAGCCGGAAGAGGUGGUUUGUUUGGCAAUUUUGGGGACGGCCCGCUCGGCUCUAUCCAUUAUUGGCAACUACCAACAGCAGAAUUUUCACAUAUUGUACGACACGAAACAGUCGAGACUAGGAUUCGCGCCAACAAAAUGUGCUGACAUAUAACGUUUUCUGACUUACUGCAUAGUUAUGGGGCUGGUGGAAAACUGUAAACAUACCUGGGUCGUGUGUAUCCAUGUACAUGGAUACAUGUCACUGUUUACUUACAAAAGGAGGUAAAAUGACAUGAUACUGAAUCCUUUCCCAUCCUUUUUUUUUUUUUUUUUUUUGGGAUUUAGGCUUAUGCAAUUCAUAUAUUGAUUGAUUACUACACAACAUAAUCUGUUUUCUUUCUAAGCUGUAUGCAAAAAAUUUGAAAUGUUUCUUAGAUCUACAAUAAAGUUGCUUGCUUAUUUGUGAAACAAUUUAGGGUUCAAAAGACCCCUACACCACUUUCGUUGCUAAAAUGUUCAUGGGUGCAUGUUUGGUAAA
rnacentral:lncRNA from 1 species